UACAACCAAACCCUGCAAGUUGACUUCUUUCUUGGGUUAUAAGGUUGGAAUGAAUCACAUUGCGAGAGGGCUUAAAAAGUUUGUAUCAAGUAAAAUCACUCUUUCAUCUAUAGCAUUUCAGUUCAGUAUUCACAUUUUCAACAUACAUAUAAUCAUUUAGACUCUGACUUCAGCAAAUUGUACGAAAAAUUAUCUAACAUGUACAAAAGAAGGCUAAAGGAGGAUGGGAGUCGAGGAUUCACCGGAGAAGCUUAAAGAAAAAGAACAAUAAAAUGAGUAAAAGAAGGAGACACGAUCUUCAUUCAAAAAGAUAAUAAAGAUAGGCAACACUCUUUGCUUGGAGUAUGAAGUUUGGCAAGAUUCUUAUUCAUAAUUUCUCAAAAAUAUGUAUUUUUCAACGGAUUAUUUGCUUGUGUCCUUGAAAUCUUUUCUUCUUUCUAACUUUCAUUUGUAUUGAAAAUAGGUGCAACUUGAAUCAAUUUUUUCAGUCUUUGUGAGUAGAAAAAUGAGUGUAUUACAUGGUGUUCGCAUGUAACUUCACAGACACUUAUCAAAUUUUAAGGGUUACAUGUGAAUAGUGUAAAAUUAGCUGAUGAGGCUAUAACAAGACAUGUUGAAAUGGUUUGGAAAGCAUUUCAAGUAAGUUGCUCUCAAUAUAAAGUUACAUAAAACUGCCCAUAAACCCUCUCUAGAUUUUGAGUCCCUCU